CAGCAGCCACGGUAAUACGAAGGGUGCAAGCGUUACUCGGAAUUACUGGGCGUAAAGCGUGCGUAGGUGGUGGUUUAAGUCCGUUGUGAAAGCCCUGGGCUCAACCUGGGAAUUGCAGUGGAUACUGGGUCACUAGAGUGUGGUAGAGGAUAGUGGAAUUUCCGGUGUAGCAGUGAAAUGCGUAGAGAUCGGGAGGAACAUCAGUGGCGAAGGCGGCCAUCUGGGACAACACUGACGCUGAAGCACGAAAGCGUGGGGAGCAAACAGGAUUAGAUACCCCCGUAGUCCCUGUCUCUUAUAC
rnacentral:rRNA from 1 species